rnacentral:rRNA from 1 species
GUAGGGAAUCUUCCACAAUGGACGAAAGUCUGAUGGAGCAACGCCGCGUGAGUGAAGAAGGUUCUCGGAUCGUAAAACUCUGUUGUGAGGGAAGAACAAGUACCGGAGUAACUGCCGGUACCUUGACGGUACAUCAUUAGAAAGCCACGGCUAACUACGUGCCAGCAGCCGCGGUAAUACGUAGGUGGCAAGCGUUGUCCGGAAUCAUUGGGCGUAAAGCGCGCGCAGGCGGUUCCUUAAGUCUGAUGUGAGAGCCCACGGCUCAACCGUGGAGGGUCAUUGGAAAGUGGGGGAGUUGAGUGCAGAAGAGGAAAGCGGAAUUGCAAGUGUAGCGGUGAAAUGCGUAGAGAUUUGGAGGAACACCAGUGGCGAAGGCGGCUUUCUGGUCUGUAACUGACGCUGAGGCGCGAAAGCGUGGGGAGCAAACAGGAUUAGAAACCCCGGUAGUCC